CGGGUGAGUAAUGCGUGACCAACCUGCCCCAUGCUCCAGAAUAGCUCUUGGAAACGGGUGGUAAUGCUGGAUGCUCCAACUUGACGCAUGUCUUGUUGGGAAAGUGUUUAGUGGCAUGGGAUGGGGUCGCGCCCUAUCAGCUUGUAGGCGGGGUAAUGGCCCACCUAGGCUUCGACGGGUAGCCGGCCUGAGAGGGCGGACGGCCACAUUGGGACUGAGAUACGGCCCAGACUCCUACGGGAGGCAGCAGAC
rnacentral:rRNA from 1 species